CAAGGCGUAGCUUAAAUAAAGCAUCCGGCUUACACCCAGAAGAUUUCAGGGACACUGACCGCUUUGA
rnacentral:tRNA from 1 species